UUUUACUUUGUCUUGUAAUCCCAGUCCAUGUACAGUCCUGUUCAGUUAUGCCCAUGUUAUGUUCUUGUUUUCCUCAUGUCUUGUGUACUUGUUUUAGGUUCUGCUUUCUGUCCUGCUCUGGUUCUGGGUUCUCCUAGUUUUGUCUUGUGUUCAUGUAUGGUGUCUUGCUCUCCUAGUUCUGCCUUGAUUCAGUACUGGAUACAUCCCUGCUGCAGAGCCUCCCUAUUCAGCUCCUGGGAGGUCUGCUUAAUUAUCUGC